CAGAGGGUGCGAGCGUUGUCCGGAAUCACUGGGCGUAAAGGGCGCGUAGGUGGUGGCUUAAGCGUGCGGUGAAAGCUCGGGGCUCAACUCCGAGUCGGCCGUGCGAACUGGGCUCACUGGAGCAUAGUAGAGGCAGGUGGAAUUCCGGGUGUAGCGGUGGAAUGCGUAGAGAUCCGGAAGAACACCGGUGGCGAAGGCGGCCUGCUGGGCUAUGGCUGACACUGAGGCGCGACAGCGUGGGGAGCAAACAGGAUUAGAUACCCUGGUAGUCCACGCCGUAAACGAUGGGCACUAGGUGCUUGGGGGAGCGACCCCCUGGGUGCCGGCGCUAACGCAUGAAGUGCCCCGCCUGGGGAGUACGGCCGCAAGCCUG
rnacentral:rRNA from 1 species